rnacentral:rRNA from 1 species
GAUGAACGCUGGCGGCGUGCCUAAUACAUGCAAGUCGAGCGGCAGCACGAGAAGCUUGUUCCCCUGGGGUUAGCGGCGGACGGGUGAGUAACGCGUGGAUAACCUGCCUCUGAGUCGGGGAUAACAUCGGGAAACGACUGCUAAUACCGCAUAAUACUUUCAACCGCAGGGUUCAAGAGUGAAAGAGGCACUUGCCGACUGAAAGAGAGGAACCCGCGUUGCAUUAGCUAGUGGGUAAGGUAAAGGCUAACCAAGGCGACGAUGCAUAGCCGACCUGAGAGGGUGAUCGGCCACACUGGAACUGAGACACGGUCCAGACUCCUACGGGAGGCAGCAGUAGGGAAUCUUCGGCAAUGGGCGAAAGCCUGACCGAGCAACGCCGCGUGAGUGAAGAAGGUCUUCGGAUCGUAAAACUCUGUUGUUAGGGAAGAACAUAUGUGUGAGUAGAUGGCGCUGUCUUGACGGUACCCAAUCAAUAAGCCACGGCUAACUUCGUG